AUGGCCAAACCGGCCCAGCAUGGCACGACUCGACCCAUGCUAAUCGUGCCAGGCGCGACACUGUCCACGGGGGCAUGUUUAGUAAACGGGUCGUGCCGUAUCGACCCACGUGUUGCGCCUCCAGGCCCAGGCAUGACCUACCACUCACCGCCAACGAGUUUCGAGACCGCUGACGAAUUUGAAAAGGGAAAGCGGGAGUCCAACCUCCGAUUCUUGCGGCGGCGAUUGGAAAUCUGGAUUUGCCGGCGGCCAGACAAGUUCAUUUUCACAAGAGAUUUGAAACAUUGCCCUACAUUUAGCAAGUUAAAGACUUUAUUACUCAACAAGUACUGGUGCGAGGCUCCUGAUUUGGAUCCACUAUCUUGCAUUCUGGCAAACUCACCAGUUCUCGAGAAGCUCACUCUUGAACUUUCUCCCAAGUCGCAAAAUCCUAAAUUGGAGAUAAAAGGAAGCUACUGUUGCAUGGAGAGACCGUCUGCAAUAUCAGAGCACCUCGACAUAGUUGAAGUCAAGUGUGAUGUGAUCGACGAGAUAAUUCUUAAAGUAUUGAAGUUCUUGUGUGCAUCUAACAUACUUGUUCGGAAGCUACUGUUGCUCGGACGACGUCCCUUGAGUGCUAGCCCGGUCUUUGUGGUGUUCGGCGGUUUCCCUUAUGUAACCGUGCCAUGUAUGAGAAAGCUGAAAAUGAGCUGCAGCUCUGAACUUAUGUUACCAGCAAUGAGAGGGAUACCCCAGUUGCUACCCAGAGUGAUCUCCGCCACGCAUUUUUGCAUCCAUAUCUGCUGCUGGUACCUAUGGGAGCAUGGGGUUGUUGUUGUCUUCAACGGCAAGACGCCAACCUAUGCCAGCGACAUCUCCUACUCAAGUCGCGUGGCGAUGCCAAUGCUUGUAUCUCUUGCUCGACGUGAGGUGUAG
rnacentral:rRNA from 1 species